AUGGCGUCUUCUGCUUCUUCAAUCCCUGCCGUCUCUCUCGCCGGAACAGAGGACAUCGCUCCUCUCCCCCUCAUCCGGUGCCCUAGAUGCAACACUGGUGUGAUCCAGUGGUUCAUCUCCGAGACUCCCCUCAACCCCGGUCGGCAUUUCUACAAAUGCCAGUUCCGCGAUUCUGGGCGUUGCACUUUUUGGAAAUGGGAGAACAAGUACAUCGACUAUCUUCGCGCUAGAUGGGCGCACGUUUUCCUUCCAGUACCUACUUCUUCCCAGGAAACCCCCACCGUUAUCCUGCGUGACAUUCAGUCAGACAUGAAGAUUGUUCUUGCCGUUGCACUUGGUACCCUUGCUGCUGUGAUGAUGCUUCUAGUCUCCAAGAUGUAG
rnacentral:rRNA from 1 species